AGCUUUCUGUAAAUUAACAUCUCAUGCCUGACCUCUCAGCCAAGUAGCAUGUUGGACUGCAGCUGCCUGCUAGACAUCCUUCCAGCAUCUCAAACUCAGCUGGGCCCAAACUGGACUCAUCGGUUUUUCUCUUGUUCUGCUGAGUUUCUGGUUCCCUUGGAAGGCACCAUCAUUCUUCUGGUGCCUCAAGUGUAAAGCCAACAACUCUGAAUCCCGUUUCCCUCUCCCUUCUUCCAGAUUUGCUCAGCUGUCAGCUCUGUGGUGUUUUCCACCUGUGAUCACCACAUCCUGUGCAUGCGCCCUUGUUUCCCUGUGCACUGCCUAUGCUAGCCCAGCCCUUGGUCCACUCAACUGCCUGCUGGUCUCUUCGUCUCCAGUCUCUCCCAAUGGGCUUGCCACAGCUGUGUGGGGGGUGCAGCUGCGACCCAGCCAGAGGAAAGCCAGGGAAAGGCCAGUCCUGUUCCCUGAGCUAGAAGAUCAGACAUGAGGAUAGGGCUUACUUCAAAGAGGAGCAGAGCAGGACAGGACAAAUCAGAAACUCCCGAGUGGCUUGUCGCUGAGAAAUAGCCUGAGGAGAAUUAUUCCUAAAGGAAGUGACUCAGUUCCCAUGAGGAAUCAAGACAUGUUCAAUUCACGAGGACUGGGAGAGAGGAGCCCUGCACGACCAGCUGAAGGUUCACAGAUAGCUCGGAAUGCUCCCAAUUUCAACAUGGGGCCAGGAGUCCACAUCUCGGUUUAUGUCACAUCAGCAAAGCGCUUCUAAGAGUCCAGAUCCAUAAAAAGUGAAAGAACCAGAAAAACAUCACCUUGGGAGACAGAAAAGACUAAGACAGAUCCGACCACACGACAAUUGUCUCGGCCUUGACCUACACGGGGCAGCUAAGACUCUGGAGUGAGAGGCACUGCCCCUACCGCCACUGCUGCACAGCACUGUCUUUAGACGGUUGAACAAGUGCAAAAAGAACCCUGCUGAGUCUCGUUGGUGUGGCCCGGCCAGCGUGCAGCUCAGGGUGUCGGAGGUGGUCUCGGAGACGGGCACGAGCUCUCGCUGUCGAAGCUGGCGGCUCGGCCCUGCCACUGGGGAGGGGAGAAAAAGCCACUUACCCGUUGCCAAAGGAAUGUACAUUUCAACUUUUGAAGCUCAUCCGGCCCAUGCACUGAAUUCACCUUUUCCCGGCUUUUCAUAAGCUUUCGUGAAUUUUGCUGUUAGCCAUGCAAAAACGUAAGGAGACCAGCUUUCGAGCUUCUAGUUUGGAAGGCCUGAGUUUUAGAAAAGACCUGCUGCAGAGAUAAUGAAAGCUUUCUCUAGCGUGUGGAAUGCAUGUGUGCAGGUGUGUGUGUGUGCACGUGCGUGCGUGCACGUGCGUGCAUGUGUGUUAGUUAAUGAGGUGCUAUGACUGGACCAUUUCUGAAUGCUUCAGCCAUUUUUCACGCUGAAAAUCGGAUUUUGUUAGCAGCGAAAGAGGCCGUCUGCAGAGUAUGCCCUUACGGCCAAGAUCCUGCAAUCAUGAAUUCUUAGCAAUUUGUCUGGGAGCUGUUCGUGCAGCUAAAGCCCUGAUCUUGCUUCAGCGCUGGGCUCUCCUCUUCAGUCUGAGCGCUUCCCGGGGGCCUUCACACUCAACUUGUGAAGAGGUGGGAGGAGAUGGCAGCCCCCUGCCCUUUCGGGUGCCUCCACCUUUCUUUUCCUCCCUCUCCUGUCUCACAGGCUGCCACCCCCUCAGCCCGACUCUAACCCCUCUGUGAAGAUGGUGAUGUAAUUAGGUGUAAUGGAGUGAGGAGAGGGCUGAGGGUGGAUGACCCACGCUUGGCCCAUCGAACCCUUCUUUACAUUGAAAAGCCAGGCAGAGCUGGAGCCAUGUUUUCUGGACAAGGAUCUGACCCUGUGAAUAUUCCAGAGCCGUCUGGUGACUGUAUAACUUCAAAGCAAGUCAGUGUCCACUGCUCACUCCAUCCCUUCUGUGAGCAGAGGAGACGCGAUACUCUCCUAGGUGCCUGCGGGACAAGGCUCCAGGGAGAGAAGUUAGGUACGUGGGUGAGAUGGCCUUUCUGAACCUGAAGUGCAGCCCCUUUUGCUUCUCAUGGGUUUUUGGGGUCUCCAUGUGGAGUGAUGGGGCUGAGGAGAAGUGGACUACACCUCUGUGUUAUGUGUAGGGGUAGGAUGGGGAAGGACGCGGUCCCUUCUCCACCCCACACCUCACAACACAGCGCUUUCUAGACAGAGCCGAGCCACUUAAGGAUUAGACCAUCCCUUCCAGCAUCUCCUGUGGGAACCCACAACGCAGAGGAGAGACCCAGACCUGCUGAUUGCUUUCAUGUUCCUGGCUCUUAGGAAAGCCUCUGUUACCUGUCCCCAGGCUUGGUACUUCAUGGUCCUUUAGUACCCACUGGGCAAGCCAACCUGAAGAUCUUUACAAGUAAUCAAAGGCUGGACAGGCAGGUAUUGAUGACCACCAUAGCGUGACCUGGGCCUGAGCAAUCUUAGCAUGCGAAACCCAGAGGCAGGUUUGGGGGAUCAUCGAGGCUAGCUCUUUUGUUCUUGCAGAUAAGAAAACCAAGACGCAGAGGGGUCAACGCACAGCUAGUUAGGAGCAGAGCCAGGAUCUGAGGCCAGGUCUCCUAACUCCGUCCACACUCAGUGUUCCCUCUGCUCCAUCCUGUGGCCACCUUUGCACCUGGCCACAUCAGGAGAAGAAGGAGACACACAAUGGAAUAAGAAACCUAACCUCUUUGGUGCCAUACCAGGUACUUACUCCUAACUCCGGUGGCAGUCUCUCUGAUUGCAGCAUCCACGUGAGAGAAAUCACAACCGAGGGUUUCCCUGGUGAAAUAUUUUACAUAAAUAAAUGCCUGGUUUUUGAGCCC